rnacentral:lncRNA from 10 species
UCUUCCUGAGCCCCUCCGAGCCAAGGCCGGCCCAGCAGGCGCCUGUGCUUCUGUAGUCUCUUCUGCCCUGCCUGCCCGCUCUGGGUUUGGUGUAAUAGAAAGAGAUGUGGAUGAGGAGCCGGGCACUUGGGCCUGGGUGGCUCUGCCACUCCCUAGCACAGCACUGAGCAAGUCAUCCCCCGCUCCAGCAUCGGCUUCCUUUUCCGAGAAAUGGGAACACUUGCAUCUCCGCUACCUACGACACUGAGGUGUCAUGGGGAGAAAAAACCCUAGAUGGGGAAGGCCUUCGGAAGAGGAAGGCAUGCUGGUAAAAAAAACUCAUUCACAUGACAGAGCAACGCUGGUGGUGUUUAGGCAAGCUCCCGAAAGACGCAUGGAAUCUUCUCUUUACGAGGAUCUGGAUGUUGAUGGUGCUUACAGGUGUGUGGGUCCCUGCACCAGGAAGGCUAUGAUGGCAUGCACGGGAGUGAGCGCCACCAACAGCUGGGCACACCCGUGCAGGUCCACCCAGGCAGCGAUGUUGAGCCUGAGGAAAUGCGGCUGCCUUCAAACUUUGAUUAGAACCCCAGGGUCGGCUGCAGUCU